AGACCCGAAACCCGGUGAUCUAGCCAUGGGCAGGUUGAAGGUUGGGUAACACUAACUGGAGGACCGAACCGACUAAUGUUGAAAAAUUAGCGGAUGACCUGUGGCUGGGGGUGAAAGGCCAAUCAAACCGGGAGAUAGCUGGUUCUCCCCGAAAGCUAUUUAGGUAGCGCCUCGUGAAUUCAUCUCCGGGGGUAGAGCACUGUUUCGGCUAGGGGGCCAUCCCGGCUUACCAACCCGAUGCAAACUGCGAAUACCGGAGAAUGUUAUCACGGGAGACACACGGCGGGUGCUAACGUCCGUCGUGAAGAGGGAAACAACCCAGACCGCCAGCUAAGGUCCCAAAGUCAUGGUUAAGUGGGAAACGAUGUGGGAAGGCCCAGACAGCCAGGAUGUUGGCUUAGAAGCAGCCAUCAUUUAAAGAAAGCGUAAUAGCUCACUGGUCGAGUCGGCCUGCGCGGAAGAUGUAACGGGGCUAAACCAUGCACCGAAGCUGCGGCAGCGAACGUAUCACCCAAGACAACUUUACGGAGUUGACGAUUGACGGAGCGAAGCGACGUCAAAGCGUUCAUUAAAGUCGAGUUGGCUUAGGGAUACGUUCGUUGGGUAGGGGAGCGUUCUGUAAGCCUGUGAAGGUGUGUCGUGAGGCAUGCUGGAGGUAUCAGAAGUGCGAAUGCUGACAUAAGUAACGAUAAAGCGGGUGAAAAGCCCGCUCGCCGGAAGACCAAGGGUUCCUGUCCAACGUUAAUCGGGG
rnacentral:rRNA from 2 species